rnacentral:lncRNA from 1 species
UUGUGGGUCGUCAUCUUCACCCAGCCAUUUAGGAAACAUCUCUUCAACUGAGUCCUUCAUAAUCAUUUUCCUCACACGCACCUGCAAUAUUAACUCAAAACUCAGCCACCAUAACACAUGACUCAGCCAUCAAUUAUAAUAAUUCAUCAAUUAAAUAACUCAUAACUCAGCCACCAAUUACUUAAUAAUUCAGCCAUCAAAUAACUCAUAACUCAGCAACCAUUUUCUUAAUAAUUCAGCCAUCUAACAAUUCAAAACUCAGUCACCAAUUACUUAAUAACUCAGCCAUCAAAAACGACUCAGCCUUCUACAAAAUAAUAACUCAACCAUCAUAUACUCAUAGCUCAGCCACUAAAUAACUCAUAACUCAACGUUAAACCUUACCUCGCCAUGAUCUUUGAU